UUGCCAGCAGUUCGGCUGGGCACUCUAUGGAAACUGCCCGUGAUAAGCGGGAGGAAGGUGUGGAUGACGUCAAGUCCUCUAGGCCCUUACGGGUUGGGCUACACACGUGCUACAAUGGUAGUGACAAUGGGUUAAUCCCCAAAAACUAUCUCAGUUCGGAUUGUCGUCUGCAACUCGACGGCAUGAAGUCGGAAUCGCUAGUAAUCGCGUAACAGCAUGACGCGGUGAAUACGUUCCCGGGCCUU
rnacentral:rRNA from 1 species